UACGUAGGCAGCAAGCGUUGUUCGGAGUUACUGGGCGUAAAGGGUGCGUAGGUGGCUCUAUAAGUAUGGUGUGAAAUCUCCCGGCUUAACUGGGAGGGUGCGCCGUAGACUGUGGGGCUAGAGUGUGGGAGAGGAAAGUGGAAUUCCUGGUGUAGCGGUGAAAUGCGUAGAUAUCAGGAGGAACACCGGUGGUGUAAACGGCUUUCUGGACAUAACUGACACUGAGGCACGAAAGCGUGGGUAGCAAACAG
rnacentral:rRNA from 1 species